AUUGAACGCUGGCGGCAGGCCUAACACAUGCAAGUCGAGCGGAUGAAGGGAGCUUGCUCCUGGAUUCAGCGGCGGACGGGUGAGUAAUGCCUAGGAAUCUGCCUGGUAGUGGGGGAUAACGUCCGGAAACGGGCGCUAAUACCGCAUACGUCCUGAGGGAGAAAGUGGGGGAUCUUCUGACCUCACGCUAUCAGAUGAGCCUAGGUCGGAUUAGCUAGUUGGUGGGGUAAAGGCCUACCAAGGCGACGAUCCGUAACUGGUCUGAGAGGAUGAUCAGUCAACCUGGAACUGAAAAACGGUCCAGACUCCUCCGGGAGGCAGCAGUGGGGAAUAUUGGACAAUGGGCGAAAGCCUGAUCCAGCCAUGCCGCGUGUGUGAAGAAGGUCUUCGGAUUGUAAAGCACUUUAAGUUGGGAGGAAGGGCAGUAAGUUAAUACCUUGCUGUUUUGACGUUACCAACAGAAUAAGCACCGGCUAACUUCGUG
rnacentral:rRNA from 1 species